AGCAGUAGCCGCGGUAAUACGAAGGGUGCAAGCGUUAAUCGGAAUUACUGGGCGUAAAGCGUGCGUAGGCGGUUUGUUAAGUCUGUUAUGAAAGCCCUGGGCUCAACCUGGGAAUUGCAGUGGAUACUGGGUCGCUAGAGUGUGGUAGAGGAUAGUGGAAUUUCCGGUGUAGCAGUGAAAUGCGUAGAGAUCGGAAGGAACAUCUGUGGCGAAGGCGACUAUCUGGGCCAACACUGACACUGAGGCACGAAAGCGUGGGGAGCAAACAGGAUUAGAUACCCCAGUAGUCCCUGUCUCUUAUAC
rnacentral:rRNA from 1 species